GUGCUCACUUCAGCAGCAGAUAUACCAAAAUUGGAAAGUUACGGAGAUUACCAGGGUGCCACGCAAGGAUGACACACAAAUUCAUGAAGUCUUCCAUAUUUUU
rfam:Felis catus isolate Cinnamon breed Abyssinian chromosome F2, whole genome shotgun sequence.